rnacentral:rRNA from 1 species
CGGCGGACGGGUGAGUAACGCGUGGGUAACCUGCCUCAUACAGGGGGAUAACAGUUAGAAAUGACUGCUAAUACCGCAUAAGACCACGGUACCGCAUGGUACAGUGGUAAAAACUCCGGUGGUAUGAGAUGGACCCGCGUCUGAUUAGGUAGCUGGUGGGGUAACGGCCUACCAAGCCGACGAUCAGUAGCCGACCUGAGAGGGUGACCGGCCACAUUGGGACUGAGACACGGCCCAG